rnacentral:rRNA from 1 species
GACGUAGGGCGCGAGCGUUGUCCGGAUUUAUUGGGCGUAAAGAGCUCGUAGGCGGCUUGUCGCGUCGUCCGUGAAAACCCACAGCUCAACUGUGGGCUUGCGGUCGAUACGGGCAGGCUAGAGUUCGGUAGGGGAGACUGGAAUUCUCGGUGUAGCGGUGAAAUGCGCAGAUAUCGGGAGGAACACCGGUGGCGAAGGCGGUUCUCUGGGCCUGACCUGGACGCUGAGGAGCGAAAGCGUGGGGAGCGAACA